rnacentral:rRNA from 1 species
CACGGGGGGAGCAAGCGUUGUUCGGAAUCACUGGGCGUAAAGGGCGUGUAGGCGGUUUGGUAAGUGGAAUGUGAAAUCCCCCGGCUUACCCGGGGACCUGCAUCCCAUACUGCCAAGCUUGAGUACGGGAGAGGAUGAGGGAAUUCCUGGUGUAGCGGUGAAAUGCGUAGAUAUCAGGAGGAACACCGGUGGCGAAGGCGGGUCUCUGGGCCGAUACUGACGCUGAGGAGCGAAAGCGUGGGGAGCGAACAGG